rnacentral:rRNA from 1 species
AUACGAAGGGGGCAAGCGUUGUUCGGAAUAACUGGGCGUAAAGCGCACGUAGGCGGAAUGUUAAGUUAGAGGUGAAAUCCCAGGGCUCAACCCUGGAACGGCCUUUAAUACUGGCAAUCUAGAGACCGAGAGAGGUGAGUGGAAUUCCGAGUGUAGAGGUGAAAUUCGUAGAUAUUCGGAGGAACACCAGUGGCGAAGGCGGCUCACUGGCUCGGAACUGACGCUGAGAUGCGAAAGCGUGGGGAGCGAACAGGAUUAGAAACCCUAGUAGUCC